rnacentral:misc_RNA from 1 species
UCAAAACAGCGGCCUUCGGGCCUCGCUGCACCCUUGUCUUUUGCGCACCGUAUUGUUUCCUCGGCGGGCUUGCCUGCCGGCUGGACAUCAUAAAACCUUUUUGUAGUUGCAAUCAGCGUCAGAAAAACAAUAAUUAUUA